CGUAGGGUGCGAGCGUUAAUCGGAAUUACUGGGCGUAAAGCGUGCGCAGGCGGUUUUGUAAGACAGGCGUGAAAUCCCCGGGCUCAACCUGGGAACUGCGCUUGUGACUGCAAGGCUAGAGUACGGCAGAGGGGGGUGGAAUUCCACGUGUAGCAGUGAAAUGCGUAGAGAUGUGGAGGAACACCAAUGGCGAAGGCAGCCCCCUGGGUCGAUACUGACGCUCAUGCACGAAAGCGUGGGUAGCAAACAGGAUUAGAUACCCUGGUAGUCCACGCCCUAAACGAUGUCAACUAGGUGUUGGGUGGGUAAAACCAUUUAGUACCGGAGCUAACGCGUGAAGUUGACCGCCUGGGGAGUACGGCCGCAAGGUUAA
rnacentral:rRNA from 1 species